AUUGAACGCUGGCGGCAGGCCUAACACAUGCAAGUCGAGCGAGCGGCGGACGGGUGAGUAAUGCCUAGGAAACUGCCCGAUGGAGGGGGAUAACUACUGGAAAAGGUAGCUAAUACCGCAUACCAUCGGAUGUGCCCAGAUGGGAUUAUCUUGUAGGUGAGGUAACGGCUAACCAGGGCGACGAUCCCUAGCUGGUCUGAGAGGAUGACCAGCAACACUGGAACUGAGACACGGUCCAGACUCCUACUGGAGGCAGCAGUGGGGAAGAUUGCACAAUGGGCUCAAGCCUGAUGCAGCCAGGCCGCGUGUAUGAAGAAGGCCUUCGGGUUGUAAAGUACUUUCAGCGGGGAGGCGUUACCCGCAGAAGAAGCACCGGCGAACUCCGUGCCAGCAGCCGCGGUAAUUC
rnacentral:rRNA from 1 species